ensembl:snRNA U6 U6 spliceosomal RNA
GUGCUUCCUUUGGCAGCACAUAUACUAAAACUGAAACGAUACAGAGAUUAGCAUGGCCCCUGCACAAGGAUGACACGCAAAUUCAUGAAGUAUUUCCUACAAAA